GAUAAACGCUGACAGAAUGCUUAACACAUGCAAGUCGAUGAUGGGAAGCUAAGCCUAGCUUAGAAGAAGUCAUGGCGGACGGGUGAGUAACGUGUAAAGAACUUGCCCUCUAGACUGGGAUAACAGAUAGAAAUGUCUGAUAAUACCGGAUAUUAUUGUUACAUGGCAUCAUGUAGGAAUGAAAGGAUAAGAUUGCUAGAGGAGAGCUUUGCAUCCUAUUAGCUAGUUGGUAAGGUAGCGGCUUACCAAGGCGAUGAUAGGUAGCCGGCCUGAGGGGUGGACGGCCACAAGGGGACUGAGAUACGGCCCUU
rnacentral:rRNA from 1 species